AGUCGUAACAAGGUCUCCGUAGGUGAACCUGCGGAGGGAUCAUUACACAAAUAUGAAGGCGGGCUGGAACCUCUCGGGGUUACAGCCUUGCUGAAUUAUUCACCCUUGUCUUUUGCGUACUUCUUGUUUCCUUGGUGGGUUCGCCCACCACUAGGACAAACAUAAACCUUUUGUAAUUGCAAUCAGCGUCAGUAACAAAUUAAUAAUUACAACUUUCAACAACGGAUCUCUUGGUUCUGGCAUCGAUGAAGAACGCAGCGAAAUGCGAUAAGUAGUGUGGAUUGCAGAAUUCAGUGAAUCAUCGAAUCUUUGAACGCACAUUGCGCCCUUUGGUAUUCCAAAGGGCAUGCCUGUUCGAGCGUCAUUUGUACCCUCAAGCUUUGCUUGGUGUUGGGCGUCUUGUCUCUAGCUUUGCUGGAGACUCGCCUUAAAGUAAUUGGCAGCCGGCCUACUGGUUUCGGAGCGCAGCACAAGUCGCACUCUCUAUCAGCAAAGGUCUAGCAUCAUUAAGCCUUUUUUUCAACUUUUGACCUCGGAUCAGGUAGGGAUACCCGCUGAACUUAAGCAUAUCAAUAUAAAAGUCG
rnacentral:rRNA from 1 species